rnacentral:tRNA from 1 species
CAGGAUGUAGUUUAAACAGAAUCUUGGCUUUGGGAGCCAAGGGUGGGAGUUCAAUCCUCUCUUUCCUGA